rnacentral:misc_RNA from 1 species
GAUGAAGAACGUAGCGAAAUGCGAUAAGUAGUGUGAAUUGCAGAAUUCAGUGAACCAUCGAAUCUUUGAACGCACAUUGCGCCCCUUGGUAUUCCAUGGGGCAUGCCUGUUCGAGCGUCAUUUGUACCUUCAAGCUUUGCUUGGUGUUGGGUGUUUGUCUCGCCUUUGCGUGUAGACUCGCCUUAAAAUAAUUGGCAGCCGGCGUAUUGAUUUCGGAGCGCAGUACAUCUCGCGCUUUGCACUCAUAACGACAGCGUCCAAAAGUACAUUUUACACUCUUGACCUCGGAUCAGGUAGGGAUACCCGCUGAACUUAAGCAUAUCAAUAAGCGGAGGA